ensembl:lncRNA
AUUUUAUUCAAUAAAAAGGUAGGUGUGUUGAGUUCAGUAAAAGUCAAUUUUAGAGAUUUUUAAAAGAGAAGACAUUUUUUGGCAGUUGUGCUUAUAAACGCUGUAAGAUUUUGACAUUUUCUGUUCAUUUUAAAAAAAAUGCAUUAAAUCGGAUAUAAAACCUGCUGCCCUUGUAUAAGCAUUCAUGGUGAUGUUUCUCCUUGUAGCAGCCAAUUAGUUGCUUAUUUUCCUUUUUCCUGUUGUCGCUUUUAAGGUUGAGUUUUUAUCAGUCCUCUAUUUCCAAGACCACUCAAUCAGGGUAAUGUUCAAAGCAGGACAAAACAGCAACAGACUUUCAGUACAGAGAAAAAAGGCUGUUUGAUUUCUAUUGCAGGAUUUGUCUGGGGUCUGAUGGGUCAGCGUGGCUGACAGCUUGGAGAUUGAUAGUUGAGAUCUUUCCCAGGCGGAACAGUGUUGGACAACAUGAGCAGUGAUCCAAGGCACCAGCAGAGCAGAGUGGAGGUGGGGCAAAAACUGCAGAUGUGGUGAAGAGUGUAUAUGCGAGCGGGCCUGUGUGUGGUCUUUUGGCUGAAGGCCAUAUCCCUCCUGUCAUCAGGACUGCUGAAUGGUACUCAGUACCUGCAGACUCAGAUCUAAGCACCUGGGGAUCCACCAGUGCUUCGGGAUGAGUAAAAUUUCAAAGAAAAUGGAAUCUUUUAUUUUUUUUUCUCCUUUUUUGUUCUUUGUCCUCUUAUUGAAUUUUUUUUUUUAUUAUUCUCUGCUGUCAUUUCCUUUCCUUUCUUAUCUAGUGUUCUCAGACAAAGCAAAUACCCCAAGAUUAGCACUGAGAGAAAUUGUCACUCUUCCUGAUGUUGAUCAGAGCCAUCCGAACGCAUGUCUUCUGUCUUGUCUUCCUCCUCUCUCCCCAACUGGUCGCGACAGAUGGCCGCCCCUCCCUGAGCUUGGUUCUGCUGGAGGUUUAUUGUUAAAAGGGAGUUUUUCCUUCCCACUGUCACCAAAGUGCUUGCUAAUAUGGGGUCAUAUGAUUGCUGGGUUUUCUCUGUAUGUAUAAUUGUCG